GCCCGCCUAGCUCAAUCGGAUAGAGCGUCAGACUCUUAUACAGUGGAGAUGACGAUGUAGGCAAUCUGAAGGCUGCGAGUUCGACCCUCGCGGUGGGCU